rnacentral:tRNA from 1 species
CGGAGAAUAGUUUAAGUAGUAAAAUAUUAAUUUUGGAUAUUAAAGAUAUUUGUUUUCUCUGA